rnacentral:rRNA from 1 species
AGGGGCACCACCAGGAGUGGAGCCUGCGGCUUAAUUUGACUCAACACGGGAAACUCACCCGGCCCGGACACUGGAAGGAUUGACAGAUUGAGAGCUCUUCCUUGAUUCAGUGGGUGGUGGUGCAUGGCCGUUCUUAGUUGGUGGAGUGAUUUGUCUGGUUAAUUCCGAUAACGAACGAGACUCUAGCCUACUAAAUAGAUCGUCGGCUUACAAACGCCGGCGAGACUUCUUAGAGGGACAGGCGGUGAUUCAACCGCACGAAACAGAGCAAUAACAGGUCUGUGAUGCCCUUAGAUGUCCGGGGCCGCACGCGCGCUACACUGAAGUGAUCAGCGUGCUUUUUCAACCUACUCUGUCAAGAGUGGGGAACCCAAUGAACCUUCUUCGUGAUUGGGAUAGGGGAUUGUAAUUAUUCCCCUUGAACGAGGAAUUCCCAGUAAGCGCGAGUCAUAAGCUCGCGUUGAUUACGUCCCUGCCCUUUGUACACACCGCCCGUCGCUACUACCGAUUGAAUGUUUU